GACGAACGCUGGCGGCGUGGAUUAGGCAUGCAAGUCGAACGGUAUCAUCCUUUCGGGGGUGAGAGAGUGGCGAACUGGUGAGUAACACGUAGGUUAUCUACCCUCAAGACGGGGACAACCCAGGGAAACUUGGGCUAAUACCGGAUGUGAGCAACUUUUAGUUGUUUGAAAGGUGGCGUAAGCUGUCGCUUGGGGAUGAGCCUGCGUCCUAUUAGUUAGUUGGUGAGGUAACGGCUCACCUAGGCAAUGAUAGGUAGGUGGCCUUAACGGGUGGUCGCCCACACUGGGAUUGAGAUACGGCCCAGACUCCUACGGGAGGCAGCAGUCGAGAAUAGUCUACAAUGGUCGGAAGACUGAUAGUGCGACGCCGCGUGAACGAUGAAUCCCUUCGGGGUUAAAGUUCUUUUAUAUGUGAGCAGUGCUUCUAUAUUAACAGUAUGGGGAGAGAGAUAUUAGCAUAUGAAUAAGCAAACGGCUAAACUCCGUGCCCAGCAGCCGCGGUAAAUA
rnacentral:rRNA from 1 species